CUGGAGCUCAAGCUGGGAGUUGUCCUCCAGCCAGGAACCAAAUCAUGGAGGCUCAGUUAGGAGAUGCCGAUUUACAGUCCUGUGAAAAAUGGGAUAUUGCUGAAACUUAUAUGCUGCUUUCACAUCAAGAUGAAGAAAUUGGAGAAGCACAUGACUCGGCAACUCGGAGUGAUGACUGGGCUGGAUUACCAUGCGAUGAGGGAUACGAACCUCCCAUUGGGAAAUUUUAAGUAUUAGUGUUUACUGUGGUGGCCACCUGCACCACCACCACCUGAU